GCGGUCAUUAUAAAAAGCGCUCAAAAGCGUCUCGUUGAUUAAAUCGCCCGACAACCUCGAAAGGAGAAGACAGCAAGUUCGUUGAAGAAAUUAAGGCAAACUCUAUAGCGACUGGUUAAAAUGGGAUUCAAAUAUGCAGUAUCGCUUUUGUUCCUGUUCUUUGUAAUGAUAAAUGUUCAUGGAAUUAAACAAGGCCGCUUUGGCGGUCUGUACAAAGACCAAGAAAAACAAGUUGAUGCUGAAAAAGAACAAAGUCGUUUUUCGUGUGGCCAUGGACCACUUUUAACUGGUUUUUGCCAUGCCGGUCCAUGUCCAUCCCAUUUAUUUAAUUGCGGAUGGAAGGACUGCAUAGAAUCGGGCCAACCGUUUUCAAACUGCUGCUGCUCUUUCGAGUGAAUCAUGCAUAAAUAGCCAAAGCGUGCAUAGAGUCGUGAAGAAAAACAGACUAUAGUAGUGUAGGAUGAUUAGUUAAAACAUAAGUUGCAUGACAAAAAGGGCAGGUAUUGUAAACUAGAUGAAAAGUAUAAGCACAGUUAAUUGCUGAAUGUAAGC